AGAAAAGGCUCUAUCCUGAAACUAUAUUUGCAUGUAUGCAAGCCCUUUGAAAUUCUUACACUCCUUUGCGUCUAUUAAACCAAGAGGAUAAGCAACCUGGUAAUUUAGCACGGUCAUGAGCAUUUAUCUACACAGUGGGCUCCAAAUGGGUGUCUGAAGGAGAAUUUGACCUUGUUCCCUGAAGUUUGUGAGCAUAGAGUAUGAAGUCUGUUCCUUGUCUAGACAUGGGAUUGGCUGGAGCUGCACCUUAGAGCAAAGAGGAGAGCCAAGAUUGUAGUGGGAGUAAGCCACAAUUCUACAGUACUCAGGGUUACUGGGACCCAGUAAGACCUGACCUGGAAUGUAAGAGAGGAAGACUUGAAGAAGAAGAAAGAGUGAAGUUUGGAUAUUAAAGAAGGCUGAACCUGUAUAGUAUCUUUUUUUUGUUUUUUGUUUUUUGUUUGUUUGUUUGUUUGUUUGUUGAGAUGGAGCCUUACUCUGUCACCCAGGCUGGAGUGCAGUGGUGCCAUCUCGGCUCAAUGCAACCUCCAUCUCCUGGGUUCAAACAAUCCUCCUGCCUCAGCCUCCCAAGUAGUUGGGACUACGGGUGUGUGCCAUCAUGCCUGACUAAUUUUUGUAUUUUUAGUAGAGAUGAGGUUCAUUAUGUUGACCAGGCUGGUCUUAAACUCCUGACAUCAAGUGAUCUGCCUGCCUCGGCCUCCCAAAGUGCUGGGAUUACAGGUGUGAGCCACUGUACCUGGUCCCAUGUAGUAUCUUGAAAUAAGAUUAUUACAAAAGUGAAAAGCACUGGAAAAGUUACAGAGUUUGCUCAAGAUAUUGUCUGGGGUCAGGAAAAAGAGAUUGGACAGAGCAAGUCUGAAGCACAAGCACGGCAGAAAAAGAAAAUAAAGCCAUUUCCUGACUGCACUUUAUAGGGUCCUGCCUGAUUAAUAAACAAGCUUUUGUCAGAGUAAAGUUAUCUCUGAAUUGGGACUGCUUAGGGCUUCUUUAACCCUGGAACUGUGCUAAAGGUGCCUUACUGUAGCUGGGAGGUGGCAUCCACUAGUGGGGCUGCCAAUCAAAGGGCCUUGCCUCCCCCAUUGCAAAAGUAGGUGUAUGUGCAGGCUGACCAAUUAGGACAACCUGUUUCCAGGUGACGGUGAUGGGUCUGGAGGUGGGCACAUGACUCAAGCAGGGCCAAGCAGAGUCCUUGUCUGUAGAGGGUUAGGAAUGGCAAAAGUCUUUCUCUUCCUGAGAUCAUGAACUGUAAACAUUAUGCAUACUUGUUGUGUCCAGAAUUGUCUUUCCCUUCACGUGGUAAGAGCUUGCUGGAGAAAGAAGCCAAUUCAGAGAGAAGUGAGUUGAGAGACAGAAACAGAGUCCACCUGAUUCAUGAUUACAUUGAUGGAAAAAAAAAGACUCAGGGAUCUGUUUUCUUUUAAUUUUUUUAUUAUUUAUUUAUUGAGACGGAGUCUCACUUCCCC
rnacentral:lncRNA from 1 species